UACAGAGGGGGCAAGCGUUGUCCGGAAUUAUUGGGCGUAAAGAGCUCGUAGGCGGCUUGUCACGUCGGGUGUGAAAGCCCGGGGCUUAACCCCGGGUCUGCAUUCGAUACGGGCUGGCUAGAGUGUGGUAGGGGAGAUCGGAAUUCCUGGUGUAGCGGUGAAAUGCGCAGAUAUCAGGAGGAACACCGGUGGCGAAGGCGGAUCUCUGGGCCAUUACUGACGCUGAGGAGCGAAAGCGUGGGGAGCGAACAGG
rnacentral:rRNA from 1 species